rnacentral:rRNA from 1 species
GCUAAUACCCCAUAUGCCGAGAGGUGAAAUGAAUUUCGCCUGAGGAUGAGCUCGCGUCUGAUUAGCUAGUUGGUGAGGUAAGAGCUCACCAAGGCAUCGAUCAGUAGCUGGUCUGAGAGGAUGAUCAGCCACACUGGGACUGAGACACGGCCCAGACUCCUACGGGAGGCAGCAGUGGGGAAUUUUCCGCAAUGGGCGAAAGCCUGACGGAGCAACACCGCGUGAGGGAUGAAGGCCUCUGGGCUGUAAACCUCUUUUUUCAAGGAGGAAGAACUGACGGUCCUUGAUGAAUAAGCCACGGCUAAUUCCGUGCCAGCAGCCGCGGUAAUACGGAGGAGGCAAGCGUUAUCCGGAAUUAUUGGGCGUAAAGCGUCCGUAGGCGGCUCUAUAAGUCUGCCGUUAAAAAUUGAGGCUUAAUUCCCUUCUGGCUCUGGAAACUGUUGGGCUUGAGUGUGGUAGGGGCGGAAGGAAUUCCUAGUGUAGCGGUGAAAUGCGUAGAUAUUGGAAAGAACACCAGUGGCGAAAGCGCUCUACUGGGCCAUCACUGACGCUCAUGGACGAAAGCCAGGGGAGCGAAAGG